rnacentral:rRNA from 1 species
ACAUGCAGUCGAACGGUAAGUUUCCUUCGGGAGACACGAGUGGCGCACGGGUGAGUAACGCGUACGCAAUCUACCUCUAUCAGGGGGAUACACACGGGAAACUGUGGAUAAUCCCGCAUACGAUUUUCGAGUGGCAUCACUUGGGGAUAAAAGUUAAAGCGGAUAGAGAUGAGCGUGCGUCUGAUUAGCUUGUUGGUGAGGUAACGGCUCACCAAGGCGACGAUCAGUAGGGGGCGUGAGAGCGUGAUCCCCCACACGGGUACUGAGACACGGACCCGACUCCUACGGGAGGCAGCAGUAAGGAAUAUUGGUCAAUGGGCGCAAGCCUGAACCAGCCAUGCCGCGUGCGGGAAGAAGGCCCUCUGGGUUGUAAACCGCUUUUGUCAGGGAAGAAUGACAGGGAUUUAUCCUUGGAGCGACGGUACCUGAAGAAUAAGCACCGGCUAACUCCGUGCCAGCAGCCGCGGUAAUACGGAGGGUGCAAGCGUUAUCCGGAAUCACUGGGUUUAAAGGGUACGUAGGCGGUUUUAUAAGUCAGGUGUGAAAUGCCGCGGCCUAACCGCGGAACUGCACUUGAUACUGUAAGACUUGAGUAGGGUGGAGGUACACGGAAUGCAUCAUGUAGCGGUGAAAUGCUUAGAUAUGAUGUAGAACACCGAUAGCGAAGGCAGCGUGCCAUACCUUUACUGACGCUGAGGUA